CACAGGGGGCGUGGCUGCUCUAUGUCUGCAGCACUGGCAGGUUGAUCAGGGGACCCUGGAGAAGUUGAGGACCCUUCAUCCUGAGCAAGGACCCUUCAUCAGCAAGACUGAUGGCCUCUGUGGGUCUCUGAGAGCUUCUGCUACCCUCCUUUGUCAAGCCAGCAGAACCUGUUGCCCAGAAUGAUAGGAAGUUUAUAACCUCCAACAAGGAAAUUAAGAGAACAGUUGAGGAAAUCCACUGCAAAGCCUGCCUGCUGCCAGUGCUGCCGCCAUCCCGCAGGAGUGACAACUGAGCCCAGUCAAGGAUACCUCUCAGAUACUCCUCACAAUCAGGACACCCUAUGCUCGUCACCCUCCACCCUGAGCAAUAAAAAGCCAUUUCUGCA
ensembl:lncRNA